UAGCACAUCGAUCUCUUGGAAAGGAUGAAGAGAUCAAAUCCCCCUUAACUCCCCAAAAGAUUUCCUGACCCCAAAUCUCCAUCUGCUGCAGUUUCUGCGUACACACACUGCCAGGUCUCCAUGACUGGCCCCUGAGCCAGCUCUCUCUCUCUCGUCCCUGAUCCCUCUCUCCUAGUCUCCGCCUCCUGCCCUCCUCGGCCUUUUUAUUCACCAGCACCUGUGCACUACCACACACACACUACUCCCCUCGCAAAGGUUACCAACAUCUCAAGUUGGGAGAAGCUGGCCGUUUCUUCCUUGGCGCCGCUGGCUACCUAGCUCUCGAUCGUGUUUCUCGCACGCUAGCCCAACGAAGCCAAGAUUGGAGCUUGCGAUGGAGAGGAGGAGCUCUGCGACAACCAAGCAGCCCCGUGAGCUUCAUAUGUUCACCUGGCAUGAAGACCCAAGACCACGUGCAUACUGGCCGCCAGGAGAAUGGGCUCAGAUGGUUCAUACUUAGCCCUAUCAUGGUGUUAUCCUGAUUGAGCUUUUCAUUCAAGCCACAAUCCUCAUCUUUCUUCACAUUCUCGACAUCGCAAUGUUUGGAGCCUUGCAAGAUUGAGUCUUCUUGACCUUGCAAGACCUUUUCUUGACCUUGUAAGACCCAACUUUGUGAUGAUUCUUUUCUUUGUCUUGAUCUUCUCUACCUCGCAUCUUCCUUCUCAUUCUUCAGUCCUUCCUCUGUCUAUCCCUCUUGAGCUGUGUUCCCAAGUUUAGUAGUAGCUAGAUUUCAGUAUCAUAUAGUAUAUUUGAUCUUCAGCGAGAAGUGAAUGGUGUGGUGCUUCUCAUACAGUCAUAUGUGUACUGCUGUUUUAAGUGUGAACUCAUCGAUUAAAACCAUCCCUUCCGUUGUAUAUUUUGCUUUGAUUGUAGAGUGCAGUAGAUGAGACACAAAAGCAUGUUCCUGUUGGGCCAUGAUGCUCAGGCAUGUGAAGUAGGCUCCUACUUGUAAGCUAGCUUCGUAUGUAUCCCAUCAGUGGAAUAAAUUGGCUGUGUGCUGCUUGAAACAUUU